ACAGAGAGGGUUUAGGGGGAGGGACUCCCUCCUCUCUGUCCUCACACUGACUCAUAGCAGAGUCCACACCUUCAUCUUUUUCUUCUCAUUUUGUAGAAUAUC